rnacentral:rRNA from 1 species
UACAGGGGGUGCAAACGUUGCUCGGAAUCAUUGGGCGUAAAGAGCUCGUAGGCGGUGUGUCGCGUCGGCCGUGAAAACCUGCAGCUUAACUGUGGGCGUGCGGUCGAUACGGGCAUCACUGGAGUUCGGCAGGGGAGACUGGAAUUCCUGGUGUAGCGGUGAAAUGCGCAGAUAUCAGGAGGAACACCUGAGGCGAAGGCGGGUUGCUGGGCUGAUACUGACGCUGAGGCGCGAAAGCCAGGGGAGCAAACGGG